UCGACGGAACGCCGGCUACAUCCUCGGCAUGUUCCCCUACCCGAGGUACCCAUCCAAGCGCCUCUCCUCUCUGGCUCCCCGUAUGGAAUUCUUCAUCGAAUUGCUCGAGUCGCCUAUGAAUAUGUUGCUACCUCGCCAUGGAUUUGUGUUUGAGUUGUGUAUAAGAAUAAUGGAUGGUUCUGCAGUUUCAGUUUCUCCACCUAUGCUCAAAUUGUUGGAGUUUGUCAUCAGUUUCUCCAGUGCUGUACUGGCCAUGCGAUUGCACGUGGUGGUGUAAUUGGGCUGUAGUCAUGCAGUAGGAUACGAGGCUCUAGUUUAGUUUUCUGUAGAAUAUGUAAUAUUGAAGUAUCCUCUGUUAUGCGACUGCAUAGAGCCUAAUAUUUACUCUUCCCGGAUGCAUAAAGUCGUCCUGAAAUUGAAUCCCAGAGUAUAAAUGAGUUUGCAACCAUUCCUAAUUUUAAGUGCAAUGUGCUUCUGUAUAAGCUGCUAUAGAUAUAGCUAUCAUUGAUGUUUAUUCAAGAUUAAGUAUUCACUUCCUUCUAGUAUUUCAGUUUUUUGUGGAGCACUUCAGAAACUAAAAUGUACACAUUUAAGAAUUAGUUCUCAUCCAGUACUCCGUCCGCCCCCACAAUAUAAGACCUUAUUGCUGCUUUGAUCUUUCAGUUACCUCCGCAGUUUUUUUUUUGAAUAUUUACUGUGAGGCAAAGCCCCACAGCCCUUUAUUGAAAUCGAACAACUGUACAAAAAAGAAUAGUAGGAGUAUAUACAGGAGCUAAGAAACUAGCCUACAAAGCUAAGGUACAGGACUAGAACUACCUACCUGGACUAAAGCUUUUAUCCAAGCUUUAAGCUUGAUGCUGCUAUCAUCCUUGAGCCUAUGAGUUAGGAGUGAAAGAUCAUGUACAAAGUUAGACCGCCAAGCAGCAAAAGUAGCUCUCUCCCCUCUAAAAGUUCUGCCAUUCCUGAGGAUCCAAAUAUUCCAUGCUGCCGUCAACAUUACUUCGAAGAAGAAAGGAUGCCUGAAGCUUGAGCUAGCAUGUUGGAUACAUUGCUGAAUAUCCGGCCCUCUUGACCAGUCAAUAGAAAGGUAGUUCCAAACCCUCCGACUGAAAUUACAGUUGAAGAACAAAUGCAGCCUAUCCUCAUAUGAAAAUUCAUGACAGAUAACACAAAGAUUAUCAUCCAGGGGGGAUCUCCAGUGCCUGCGGAUCAGAAGGUCCUUGGUGUUAAGCCUGUCAAAGAAAAGUAACCAUCCAAAGACUUUGAUCUUCAUGGUGCAUCUGCUUUUCCACAACCAUUUACACGGUUGAAUUGUGGGUAAAUGUGAGUGCAUCAAGGUGUAGAAACUCUUGGCUGAGAAACUACCAGAUCUGCCCGGCUAAACCCAAGCAUCUGGUAUGUUGGUGUCCCUGUUCAAGGCCAUGAUCCAAUCUUCUAGCACUUGCAACUCCUGAGCAGCCUCAUGAGACAAUGGCAAGAAGAACAUGGUAAAUAUAUCCUGCGAUAUGAGGAAUUCAUGCACUGAAACCUUAUCAUUGUUAACAAAGGAAAAUAACCUUGGCAAUCUCCAACAUAAAGGUCUAGAAGAGCCACCAAUAAACCAAGCAUCAGUCCAAAACAGAGCAGAGUCACCCAUGUUGAUGUGCACCGAGGCAAUAGCUGUGUAUGCAUCAUGGAGCUUAAGGAUAUCUCUCCACCAAAAGGAGACCACUGGGGUUGUAGCGUGUGGAACACCAUCAGCAUAAUAACUGUUCUAGAUGAGGGACACCCAGGGUAUGUGAGCCUUAUUAUAAAAUUUAUGCAAAUGCUUGAGCAGAAGACCCUUGUUUUGAAUGUUUAAGUUGAUGACCCCAAGACCACCUUUGUCUUCUGGCCGACAGACUAAAUCCCAAGCGGCCAAAGAUUGCUCGAUAUGCAGAUUUGAUUUGUGGAUAUGCUUGUGUGUAGUUGACUGAUUUAUGCUCUGAUUUGGUUGCAGGUGAGGAAGGUGGACAUGCUCGACCGAGUCACCAUCUUGCGGUGCUAUGAUUUGAUUUGUGUGCUGUUGUUGCUUGUGGUCUGCAGCCUGCAGGGUUCAUACUGCUCCUUUGUGUUAUUUUUUUGCCUUGAGAUUGUUUCAAGAUUCAGAAGUGAGCAAUUUUGCAUGGCUCAGAUUUUAACGCCUCUGAAUUAGUAGUGCUAAUUAUUCCGAGGUCACAAGAGUAUGUAGCUUCUGAAUUUAAUUGUAUGCAUGCAAUACUUAAUGGUAUUGUUGUGCAAUUCGUACUGAGCAUGCAUCAACAGUAGGAGUGCUCAGUGCAUGCAUCAACAACUAUCUAUAUGUUUGGUUUGAUUGCUGGACUUGUAAAUGUAUGGGUUGGUCUGGGUUUGGUUUGGAUUACAAACUAUUGCCAGGUUGUCUUAAUGUGCUGAAUAUUUGCAAAUGUUGUGGUAGCUGGGGUACUGAAUUGUACUUAGUUAUUUGAUCUACUCAUGUUCAUGCUGCUUGUUAAGUGAUUAUAUUUAUGUUCUUGCUACUAGUAGGAUGGUCAAUACAUGCUUGUUAUGUAACUUUAGAUCUUUCGUGGAACUCCUGGUCCUUCAUAUCUAAAGUUAUUUUGACAUUCUGCCUAGAUUGUAACAUUGCUUGAUUGCUUAUAUCUUCCUUCUGAACCUGCAAUCCUUGAUGUAUAAUUAGUUAAUUACACACUUUGAUAUGUCCAACUGAACCAACUUUGUUAAUUACACACACACACACACACAUAUAUAUAUAUACAUGCCCACACGUCAAAUAUAUGGUGUUGUAUUAUGCUUAUGCUACUUGUAUCACCAGUGUUUCCUCUUGUUUUUUUAGGGUGGUCCCUCUUGUUUUUUAGGGUGCAACAACUGAUGGUUAUUUGUCCGAAACAAAAGUUAGUGAGUAA
rnacentral:lncRNA from 1 species